AUAUGGUGGUUAACUCUGAUGGUGUGUUUUGAAACAAGAAUCGAGAUAUGAAAACAAUGGAUGAAGUCUUUAAGAAGAUUGUAUAGUUAUACUAACCUUGAAUAAUUGACUAAUAAAUUGAAUUUUCAUAUGUA